GGAAAACACCCCAACCCACUUCUUUGUUAAACUGGCUCAGGGAUAUUCUUCACUUUCUCAAACUUGGCAACCAUUACAACAACUGGGAAGACGAGUUAAUCUUCCAACAAUCCCAGACUAGUUUUGGAUUCUGUAUUUUUUUUUCUAUUGGUCUUCUGGAGGUCGUCUCUCCUCCUUUGUCGCAAAGAAAAGAAAAGAGAAGAUGACACCAAAGGCUUGAGGGAUUUUACAAGUAAAUAUAAAAAAAAAAACUGAGGAUGAAUCAGGAACAGGUCCAAGGACGGAACUGCAGAGAAUUGGUGCCCAUCCAGAGCCAGAUGGACGUGUGCCAUCCCUACCGAUAGCGGCGACAGUGCAGGUGGGGGGGAUGCCCGAUUGGAGUCUGAGCAUAGUCGCUCAGAGACAGAACACAGCGUUAAUUUCAAUGAUCCCACGUUAUGGCCAACAAAAAUGGCUGAUUCCGAUCGAAUGGCAAUGGCAAAAAGGAAGC